GAGAAAGAGCAGAGGGGUGUGAACCCUAGCUCUCAAGAACAACAACACAAAUUCAGCCCAAUCAAAGCCAAAAUCGAAUGGAAAGCCUUGCAUGGAUAAAGAUUUCUCAUAAUCUAACCCUAACAAACAUAUGCAUUAGGGAUCAUGUGGAAAUGGACUCAAGCAAGAAAGACAAACGGGUCAAGAGGAGACAAGGAAGCGGAUGCGAAAACGGACGCUCAAGGUUGUACGAAUGACAAAUUAUCAUCAUGAGGUGUAGCGAUCAAGGUCCAAGUUACAAGAUAGAUUGUACGGGGAUCCUGGAGUAUAUAAAAUGAU